rnacentral:lncRNA from 1 species
GCGUGGGGUGGGCGGCUCAGACCUUGGUCUGUGGGAGCCCUAGGAGGGCACCGUGUUAAGUCUGGAGGCUCUGCGGGAGAGGGCGGCCUGGGGGGAAGAGGCGUGCUCCUGGUAAAUGACAUCACGACAGAAGUGGAAGUGGUGGCCAAGGAAGAGGCCGACGUGGAGCAGCAGCAGGAGGACCACUGGGCAGAGCCGGGCCCUGGCCCCAGUAUGCCCCGGCCCGCAACGGACUCGCUGGAGGUCCAUCAUUUGCAGCUGGGCUUUGUAAAUGCCUCAAGCCACAGGGCAUCCCCG